rnacentral:rRNA from 1 species
UACGAAGGGGGCUAGCGUUGUUCGGAAUCACUGGGCGUAAAGCGCACGUAGGCGGAUUGUUAAGUCGGGGGUGAAAUCCUGAGGCUCAACCUCAGAACUGCCUUCGAUACUGGCAAUCUCGAGUCCGGAAGAGGUUGGUGGAACAGCUAGUGUAGAGGUGAAAUUCGUAGAUAUUAGCUAGAACACCAGUGGCGAAGGCGGCCAACUGGUCCGGUAACUGACGCUGAGGUGGCGAAAGCGUGGGGAGCAAACAGGG